GCGUCUCGCCAUUUGUUUGUUUUUAAUGGAAAUCAUUUUUGCAUUUAACAACAUAAACAGCCCGUCGUCACCACCCCGACUCCUUCGCAUCAUUUUAUAUCCAGAAAGUGAGUGAGAUGCUCAGUCAGUCAGCCAGUUAGUCGGAUAUUCAGUCGGCCUGUCUAAAAAGUUCAAAUUCCGUAAACAAACAGAAGGAAAGUAGGAGAACACCUGGGGAAAAUACUGCUUGAGAUUGUCGAUUCCGAACCCGCUGGCAGCUGCACCUGUCAUUGCUGAAAUAAACGAUAAACAGACAUGGAGGUACGGCUACACCGGACCGUGGAGUUUGCCUCACAACUCACAAUGGCCUCAAAAUUUAUGUCUGGGAUCAAAAAGUUCUCUAACCUCUGAACUGUGCAGGUGCUCGACUGGUAACGAAUACCGCAGCAGAUGGGGGCGCUAAGAGAUUUAUUAGUUCGACCAAAAUAUUGAUGAAUAAAUUAAGAAAUGCAUUUAAGGUA